rnacentral:rRNA from 1 species
AGCGAACGUUAGCGGCGGGCCUAACACAUGCAAGUCGAACGAGAAUGAGGGGGCAACUCCUCUAGUAAAGUGGCGGACGGGUGCGUAACACGUGGGCAAUCUACCUUCCAGCGGGGGACAACCGUCCGAAAGGAUGGCUAAUACCGCGUACGUCGGCGAGGGCUCCGGUCCUUGUCGGGAAAGACGGCCUCUCCUUGGAAGCUGUCACUGGAAGAUGAGCCCGCGGCCCAUCAGCUUGUUGGCGAGGUAACGGCUCACCAAGGCAAAGACGGGUAGCUGGGCUGAGAGGAUGAUCAGCCACACUGGGACUGCGACACGGCCCAGACUCCUACGGGAGGCAGCAGUGGGGAAUAUUGGGCAAUGGGCGAAAGCCUGACCCAGCCACGCCGCGUGAGUGAUGAAGGCCUUCGGGUCGUAAAGCUCUGUGGGGAGGGACGAACAAGGUUGGAGUUAACACCUCCGGCCCCUGACGGUACCUCCUUAGCAAGCACCGGCUAACCAUGUGCCAGCAGCCGCCGUAAAAC